AGAUGCGAAGGUGACCUGGGUGCAAAGUCUGCCGCCCCAUUGAUCUCCAGGGUUGAUGAGGCUAAUCUGGCUGGCUAGAUGGAUGUACCCUUCUUUCCUCAAUACUCCAUCUGGGUCCUUCCUGUAGCAGGAAGGUCUUCAGCAGAGACGGACUAGUCUUCUACAGAGCAUAUAAGAGUGUGUGUGCUCCCAUGACAACCUCUAAACAAUCUAUUUAUUUCUGUCCCAUCAAAUAAAAAAAAAGGUUGAUAAAUAAAUAAAAAUAUAUAUAGAGAGAAAAAUU
rnacentral:snRNA from 1 species